UACGGAGGGUGCAAGCGUUGCUCGGAAUUAUUGGGCGUAAAGGGUAGGUAGGUGGUCUCGUUUGUCUGGGGUGAAAGCCUUGAGCUUAACUCAAGAAGUGCCUCAGAAACGGCGAGACUAGAGUCCUAGAGAGGGUCGUGGAAUUCCUGGUGUAGCGGUGAAAUGCGCAGAUAUCAGGAGGAACACCGGUGGCGAAGGCGGUUCUCUGGGCAUUACCUGACGCUGAGGAGCGAAAGUGUGGGGAGCGAACAGG
rnacentral:rRNA from 1 species